rnacentral:rRNA from 1 species
AUGUCUGCUUAUCAAGAAUGUUAUCAUGCUUCUCUUGAUCUCGGAAAUACUCAUUCACACAACCUGCAAUUUUUCUUUGUGCGGCUGUGGAGGUCCUCUCCCGACCAGUUUGGCAACACAAAGAGGCUCAUAAAGAGGCAUAUGGCACACCCUAUGGCAAUUGUACUCAAGCGAUCUCGUGCUAAAGGCAGUAUGUUCUCCUGGCGGAAGCUUGAGACCGUUAUCAGAUUGAAGGAAGCAUCAGCAAGCUGUUCUUGUUGCUGCUGGGAUCUACAGCACAAGCCAUUCUUGCAGCCUGGGCUCAAGAUGAAUGCUCAGGUUCCUUGGAAGAUGGCAAUGCUACCAACAGUGUAG